GAAUGCAUUAGGGGGUAACGGGUGAGGAACACGUGAGAAACCUGCCUUUCAUUCUGGGAUAACACCGGGAAACCGGUGCUAAUACCGGAUACUCCGUCUUGGCGGCAUCGCCGAGCCGGGAAAAAAUUUUGAUGAAAGAUGGUCUCGCGGCCUAUCAGCUAGUUGGUGAGGUAAAGGCUCACCAAGGCGACGACGGGUAGCCGGCCUGAGAGGGCGACCGGCCACACUGGGACUGAGACACGGCCCAGACUCCUACGGGAGGCAGCAGUAGGGAAUAUUGGGCAAUGGGCGCAAGCCUGACCCAGCGACGCCGCGUGAGGGAUGAAGGUCUUCGGAUUGUAAACCUCUUUCAGUAGGGAAGAAGCGAAAGUGACGGUACCUAAAGAAGAAGCACCGGCUAACUAUGUGCCAGCAGCCGCGGUAAUACAUAGGGUGCAAGCGUUGUCCGGAAUUAUUGGGCGUAAAGAGCUCGUAGGUCGUUUGUCGCGUCGAUUGUGAAAAUCUGAGGCUCAACCUCAGACCUGCAGUCGAUACGGGCAAACUAGAGUGUGGUAGGGGAGACUGGAAUUCCUGGUGUAGCGGUGGAAUGCGCAGAUAUCAGGAGGAACACCAAUGGCGAAGGCAGGUCUCUGGGCCAUAACUGACACUGAGGAGCGAAAGUGCGGGGAGCGAACAGGAUUAGAUACCCUGGUAGUCCGCACCGUAAACGGUGGGCACUAGUUGUGGGAACCUUCCACGGUUUCCGCGACGCAGCAAACGCAUUAAGUGCCCCGCCUGGGGAGUACGAUCGCAAGAUUAAAACUCAAAGGAAUUGACGGGGCCCCGCACAAGCAGCGGAGCAUGCGGCUUAAUUCGACGCAACGCGAAGAACCUUACCAAGGCUUGACAUAUAGCGAAAAGUGGCAGAGAUGUCAUGUCCGCAAGGGCGCUAUACAGGUGGUGCAUGGUUGUCGUCAGCUCGUGUCGUGAGAUGUUGGGUUAAGUCCCGCAACGAGCGCAACCCUCGUUCUGUGUUACCAGCAUUUAGUUGGGGACUCACAGGAGACUGCCGGGGUCAACUCGGAGGAAGGUGGGGAUGACGUCAAAUCAUCAUGCCCCUUAUGUCUUGGGCUGCACGCAUGCUACAAUGGCCGGUACAAAGUGCUGCGAGAUCGUAAGAUUGAGCGAAUCACAUAAAGCCGGUCUCAGUUCGGAUUGAGGUCU
rnacentral:rRNA from 1 species